GUACGGACAGACUUUAGAAAAAGUAUAACAAGCGUUUGACAAACAGAGAUGCACAAAUAAUUUUGAGAAAUGCAAAAAUAUGAAAAACUUGAGAAAAUUGGGGAAGGGACAUAUGGAACAGUGUUUAAAGCAAAGAAUAGAGAAUCUCAAGAGAUUGUAGCAUUAAAGAGAGUGCGUCUUGAUGAUGAUGAUGAGGGAGUGCCAAGCUCGGCAUUACGAGAGAUUUGUUUGUUAAAGGAACUUAAACAUAGAAACAUUGUCAGGUAAGAUUAU